rnacentral:rRNA from 1 species
UACGAAGGGGGCUAGCGUUGUUCGGAAUUACUGGGCGUAAAGCGCGUGUAGGCGGGCGACUAAGUCAGGGGUGAAAUGCCGAGGCUCAACUUCGGAAUGGCCUUUGAUACUGUUCGUCUUGAGUCCGGGAGAGGUGAGUGGAACUGCGAGUGUAGAGGUGAAAUUCGUAGAUAUUCGCAAGAACACCAGUGGCGAAGGCGGCUCACUGGCCCGGAACUGACGCUGAGACGCGAAAGCGUGGGGAG